rnacentral:rRNA from 1 species
UACGGAGGGAGCUAGCGUUAUUCGGAAUUACUGGGCGUAGAGCGCACGUAGGCGGCUUUGUAAGUCAGAGGUGAAAGCCUGGAGCUCAACUCCAGAACUGCCUUUGAGACUGCAUCGCUUGAAUCCAGGAGAGGUGAGUGGAAUUCCGAGUGUAGAGGUGAAAUUCGUAGAUAUUCGGAAGAACACCAGUGGCGAAGGCGGCUCACUGGACUGGUAUUGACGCUGAGGUGCGAAAGCGUGGGGAGCAAACAGG